GGACUUUACAUCAGGUUUUUUUAAGACAAACAGAAAAGGGAGAGGAGAAGCAAACAUAUUAAAACGGAAUGAUUGUUUUAUAAGUGUAUAUGUCAUCACUUGUAGCUGAUCUUGACCCAUCAUUUCUCCAGCCACUGAGCAACAAGGCUGUUGUAAGCCAGCGGAGCAGGACUGUGGUGAAUUUAGACAGGGCGUGAGAGAUUCUGCAGGGGCAGACUGAGGUUGCAUGUGGAGGAGUGCUUGUUUCUCAGCUUGAUCCCAGGGCAGAGAAAAGCUCCCUAAGGGAGUAGCCCCAGUGCUUUGGGUGGUUGGCUCAAAUAUAAACCAGGUUUCUUUUUCAGCCUCCUACUUGGUGAGUCAAUAUUUGCAAAAGUGUUGCAAAUAUCAUCCCAUCAAAACAUUAUUACUGUGUUCCUGUGGUCUUGCUUUUAUUGUUUGCUUAUUGUUUUUCUCUCCAGGUUUAUUAUAAGAUCUUUUAUUGGGCAGUUUCAACCUGGCAUAAAACAAUAUCUGCUAUGGAAAAUUCCCACACAGCCCUCCUGAUGUCCAGAACUGAUCAAAUAAACACUGAUCACUUAUCUUUUCUUUCACAGGAUUUCCCCAGUCCUACAGGGUCCGAGAGCAGACACUGCAGGUCUUCACCUAGUGAUGCACACGGCCAUGGUCCAGCCAGACUUUCCAUCUUUGAGAAAAUGCAACUGGAAAACCUGCCUCCAAUCAUUCCACUGAAGUCUUUUAUAAGGAAAUACUCAGACAGAUCCUCUUCCUGCUGAAGAAAAUAAAAAUGAUAUCUCAUGACAAACCUAAGUAUCUCUGCUAUGUAAAAUACGGCCAGUGCGGCCAACCCUGGUGAUGCACUGUU
rnacentral:lncRNA from 1 species